GCUCCAAUAGCGUAUAUUAAAGUUGUUGCAGUUAAAAAGCUCGUAGUUGAACCUCGGAUUCGGUUGGGCGGUCUCCUAAUGGGUAGUACUUCUCUGGCCGAAUCUUUCCUUCUGGCGAACCAUUGUGCUAUUUGUUUAGUGCGGUGGAGAACCAGGACUUUUACUUUGAAAAAUUAGAGUGUUUAAAGCAGGCUUACGCU
rnacentral:rRNA from 1 species